GCUGGCGGCAGGCCUAACACAUGCAAGUCGAACGGAGUUAUAUUGUAGCUUGCUAUGGUAUAACUUAGUGGCAGACGGGUGAGUAAUGUAUAGGAAUCUACCUAGUAGUACGGAAUAAUUGUUGGAAACGGCAACUAAUACCGUAUACGCCCUACGGGGGAAAAAUUUAUUGCUAUUAGAUGAGCCUAUAUUAGAUUAGCUAGUUGGUGGAGUAAUAGCCUACCAAGGCAAUGAUCUAUAGCUGAUCUGAGAGGAUGAUCAGCCACACUGGAACUGAGAUACGGUCCAGACUCCUACGGGAGGCAGCAGUGGGGAAUAUUGGACAAUGGGCGAAAGCCUGAUCCAGCCAUGCCGCAUGAGUGAAGAAGGCCUUUGGGUUGUAAAGCUCUUUUAGUGAGGAAGAUAAUGACGGUACUCACAGAAGAAGUCCUGGCUAACUCCGUGCCAGCAGCCGCGGUAAUACGGAGAGGGCUAGCGUUAUUCGGAAUUAUUGGGCGUAAAGGGCGCGUAGGCGGAUUAGUAAGUUAAAAGUGAAAUCCCAAGGCUCAACCUUGGAAUUGCUUUUAAAACUGCUAAUCUAGAGAUUGAAAGAGGAUAGAGGAAUUCCUAGUGUAGAGGUGAAAUUCGUAAAUAUUAGGAGGAACACCAGUGGCGAAGGCGUCUAUCUGGUUCAAAUCUGACGCUGAGGCGCGAAGGCGUGGGGAGCAAACAGGAUUAGAUACCCUGGUAGUCCACGCUGUAAACGAUGAAUGUUAAAUAUGGGAAGUUUUACUUUCUGUAUUACAGCUAACGCGUUAAACACU
rnacentral:rRNA from 1 species